CGUUGUGUUUAUCCUAGGCAUUGAGCUCAAAUGAUAACUGGAGCACUGGCAAGGUGCUAAACUAUGGGAGUAGACAGCUUGGGGCUAAACCUGGUGAACUGUAAAUGAGCUUGGUACUUGUUGAUGUAGGACACUACUAUGCUUGAGAGUGCUGAAUGGAUAGUGUGAGGAGGUACAUGCACUGUUUGACUUUAUACUUUGGAGCUAUGCCUUCCACUCUGAUUUUCCUUGGGUGAUGAGUGCUCUUAAUUGACCUCUUAUAGAUGUGAAGUUCUUGCCCUUUAGUUGUCUCGUCAUGUCAUAAAUUUCUUCUGGCGACCGCAGAUAACCAAUUUGUGGGCUUUGUGGCUGACCUUAAGCUUGUUCUAGGCUUUAACGUGUUAAAUCAUCUAUUCAAGGAACAAUUGCCUUGUUCUAGCAGAUUCUCUCAGUGAGUUUCUUGCCACUCUCUUCACUCAUUCUUUACUGAGAUCACUUGCUUCAAUUCCAUUUUGCCUUCAGUUCCUACUAGCCCAAGGAACUUUUUCCAGAUUACUUAGAAACUUUUCCAGAUAACUUAGACUUGGCAAUCACAGACACUUGCAACAGUAGCAACGUUUGUAAUGAUAUUUUUGAGAGCAAAGUUUGGGUGACAAUUGGAACAUUUUCAUUGUUAGAGUCUCUCUCUCUCUCUCUCUCUC
rnacentral:misc_RNA from 1 species